rnacentral:tRNA from 1 species
CGCCCGCCCGGACCGCACCCUGGUCCCCGCGGGCGCAGGUCGCCGGCGGGUCCACGACGGGCUCGCCCCGGGAGGUUCGACUCCUCCGCUCGCGACCA